AGGGGGGUNGAAUUUCNGCUGUUAGCGGNNAAAUNNGNNGAGAAUCUGNANGNAUACCCNGUUGGCGAAGGNGNNCCCCCNUGGACAGAUACUGACACUCAGAUGCGAAAGCGUGGGGAGCAAACAGGAAUUAGAUACCCUGGUAGNCCACGCCGUAAACGAUGUCUACUUGGAGGGUUGUGGCCUUGAGCCGUGGCUUUCGGAGCUAACGCGUUAAGUAGACCGCCUGGGGAGUACGGUCGCAAGAUUAAAACUCAAAUGAAUUGACGGGGGCCCGCACAAGCGGUGGAGCAUGUGGUUUAAUUCGAUGCAACGCGAAGAACCUUACCUACUCUUGACAUCUACAGAAGCCAGCGGAGACGCAGGUGUGCCUUCGGGAACUGUAAGACAGGUGCUGCAUGGCUGUCGUCAGCUCGUGUUGUGAAAUGUUGGGUUAAGUCCCGCAACGAGCGCAACCCUUAUCCUUGUUUGCCAGCACUUCGGGUGGGAACUCCAGGGAGACUGCCGGUGAUAAACCGGAGGAAGGUGGGGACGACGUCAAGUCAUCAUGGCCCUUACGAGUAGGGCUACACACGUGCUACAAUGGCGCAUACAGAGGGCGGCCAACUUGCGAAAGUGAGCGAAUCCCAAAAAGUGCGUCGUAGUCCGGAUUGGAGUCUGCAACUCGACUCCAUGAAGUCGGAAUCGCUAGUAAUCGUGGAUCAGAAUGCCACGGUGAAUACGUUCCCGGGCCUUGUACACACCGCCCGUCACACCAUGGGAGUGGGCUGCAAAAGAAGUGGGUAGUUUAACCUUCGGGAGGACGCUCACCACUUUGUGGUUCAUGACUGGGGUGAAGUCGUAACAAGGUAACCG
rnacentral:rRNA from 1 species